GACGAACCGUGCAAACGUUGUUCGGAAUCACUGGGCUUAAAGGGCGCGUAGGCGGGCAGGCAAGUCGGAGGUGAAAGCCCACGGCUCAACCGUGGAAGUGCCCCCGUUACUGCCAGUCUUGAGGGAGGUAGGGGCGUGCGGAACUUCCGGUGGAGCGGUGAAAUGCGUAGAUAUCGGAAGGAACACCGGUGGCGAAAGCGGCGCGCUGGACCUCUUCUGACGCUGAGGCGCGAAAGCCAGGGGAGCAAACGGG
rnacentral:rRNA from 1 species